UACGUAGGAUGCAAGCGUUGUUCGGAAUUACUGGGCGUAAAGAGUACGUAGGCGGUUUGAUAAGUCUGAUAUUAAAGACUGAGGCUUAACCUCAGGAGUGUAUCGGAAACUGUCAGACUAGAGGACAAUAGAGGAAGUCGGAAUUCUCAGUGUAGAGGUGAAAUUCGUAGAUAUCGAGAAGAACACCGGUGGCGAAGGCGGCCAACUGGACGGUGACUGACGCUGAGACGCGAAAGCGUGGGGAGCAAACAGG
rnacentral:rRNA from 1 species